rnacentral:rRNA from 1 species
AACGAACGCUGGCGGCGUGCUUAACACAUGCAAGUCGAACGGUAAGGCCUUCGGGUACACGAGUGGCGAACGGGUGAGUAACACGUGGGUGAUCUGCCCUGCACUUUGGGAUAAGCCUGGGAAACUGGGUCUAAUACCGAAUAGGACCACGCGCUUCAUGGUGUGUGGUGGAAAGCUUCUGCGGUGUGGGAUGGGCCCGCGGCCUAUCAGCUUGUUGGUGGGGUAAUGGCCUACCAAGGCGACGACGGGUAGCCGGCCUGAGAGGGUGACCGGCCACGCUGGGACGGAGAUGCGGCCCAGACUCCUACGGGAGGCAGCAGUGGGGAAUAUUGCACAAUGGGCGCAAGCCUGAUGCAGCGACGCCGCGUGAGGGAUGACGGCCUUCGGGUUGUAAACCUCUUUCAGUAGGGACGAAGCGCAAGUGACGGUACCUAUAGAAGAAGGACCGGCCAACUACGUGCCAGCAGCCGCCGCAG